UACGAAGGGGACUAGCGUUGUUCGGAAUCACUGGGCGUAAAGCGCACGUAGGCGGAUUCGUAAGUCAGGGGUGAAAUCCCGGGGCUCAACCUCGGAACUGCCUUUGAUACUGCGGGUCUUGAGUCCGAUAGAGGUGGGUGGAAUUCCUAGUGUAGAGGUGAAAUUCGUAGAUAUUAGGAAGAACACCGGUGGCGAAGGCGGCCCACUGGAUCGGUACUGACGCUGAGGUGCGAAAGCGUGGGAGCAAACAGGA
rnacentral:rRNA from 1 species